rnacentral:rRNA from 1 species
GAUGAACGCUGGCGGCGUGCUUAACACAUGCAAGUCGAACGAGAAGUGAAGACGGAAACCUUCGGGCCGAAGGCUUUAUUUCGAGUGGCGGACGGGUGAGUAACGCGUGGGUAACCUGCCUCAUACAGGGGGAUAACAGUUGGAAACGACUGUUAAUACCGCAUAAGACCACAGCACCGCAUGGUGCGGGGGUAAAAACUCCGGUGGUAUGAGAUGGACCCGCGUUCGAUUAGCCAGUUGGCGGGGUAACGGCCCACCAAAGCGACGAUCGAUAGCCGAUCUGAGAGGAUGACCGGCCACAUUGGGACUGAGACACGGCCCAAACUCCUACGGGAGGCAGCAGUGGGGAAUAUUGCACAAUGGGGGAAACCCUGAUGCAGCGACGCCGCGUGAGUGAAGAAGUAUUUCGGUAUGUAAAGCUCUAUCAGCAGGGAAGAAAAUGACGGUACCUGAGUAAGAAGCCCCGGCUAACUACGUG